CCUGGCUUCUUUCAAGAAGCAGAUGGAUACUCAGAUCAAUCUACCAGGAACUGUAGCAGCUGGAUGCACUAAAAGGCCUCCACUCGCUAGUAUCUGUUCUUUCAUUCUUAACUGGAAGGGGCCAGUACUGACGGCUCAUCACAACUUGCUCAGCUGACACCUUCUGGCUUCAGUCGGUUUGCAAACUGCAAAGGCCUGGUGUCAAAUGAACGUGUAGUAAAACGGAAAACGGAGACCUGGAUGUUCAACACAAAGGAUCGCGUCCAACUCAGAAACAAAAUGUGAAUACAGUGUGAGAAAACAGAAAGCACUCCUGUGCAGCAGAUUCCCGUUUUACGCAGUAGUUAGGGAUCCUGACAUAGCGCGUAUAACCUAAAAUCACAUAUAAUCCAAACACCCCCCAUAGACCCUCCGACAAGUAACAUCAAUCACAAGUGUAUUAGUAUCUGCCUGCAAGUAGUUUAAAGUAUUAUGAAAACAGUAACACAGCAGAUACAGAGUAGAGAACAGAUCCCACAGCCUCCUCUGCCUUCAAUUGUAGGAAUCGAAGACUCACUCUUGCCAAACAUAUGCGCCGAAUUGGUCACCGCCGUCCGAGCUUUUCAUGACUUGCCUCUCCCCUCCGCACUUGUUUUCGGUUUAUUGAGACUGAUCUCGCACGAUAAAGAAGCACCGGCGUGCUACAGGCUCUGUGACCAGUCCCCAAAGCGUAGCACAGUUUCCCAACAACGGUUUCCAGACAUCUGA
rnacentral:lncRNA from 1 species